AACGAACGCUGGCGGCAUGCCUAACACAUGCAAGUCGAACGAGACCUUCGGGUCUAGUGGCGCACGGGUGCGUAACGCGUGGGAAUCUGCCCCUUGGUUCGGAAUAACAGCGAGAAAUUGCUGCUAAUACCGGAUAAUGACGUAAGUCCAAAGAUUUAUCGCCAAGGGAUGAGCCCGCGUAGGAUUAGCUAGUUGGUGUGGUAAAGGCGCACCAAGGCGACGAUCCUUAGCUGGUCUGAGAGGAUGAUCAGCCACACUGGGACUGAGACACGGCCCAGACUCCUACGGGAGGCAGCAGUGGGGAAUUUUUGGACAAUGGGCGCAAGCCUGAUCCAGCAAUGCCGCGUGAGUGAUGAAGGCCUUAGGGUUGUAAAGCUCUUUUACCCGGGAUGAUAAUGACAGUACCGGGAGAAUAAGCUCCGGCUAACUCCGUGCCAGCAGCCGCGGUAAAGUGACUACUG
rnacentral:rRNA from 1 species